rnacentral:rRNA from 1 species
UACGGAGGGGGCUAGCGUUGUUCGGAAUUACUGGGCGUAAAGCGUAUGCAGGCGGAUCGUUAAGUCGGGGGUGAAAUCCCGAGGCUCAACCUCGGAACUGCCUUCGAUACUGGCGACCUUCGAGUCCGGGAGAGGUGAGUGGAACUCCGAGUGUAGAGGUGAAAUUCGUAGAUAUUCGGAAGAACACCAGUGGCGAAGGCGGCUCACUGGCCCGGUACUGACGCUGAGAUACGAAAGCGUGGGGAGCAAACAGG